GGCCCAGUGGUGUAACAGUAACAUGCUUGCUUCUUGUUGUGUCCUAUUUCUCAUCGCAAUGCAGGUGAUCCCUGUUCGAAUCAGGGCCGGGUCA